ACGGAAGGCAGCAGUAGGGAAUCUUCCACAAUGGGCGAAAGCCUGAUGGAGCAACGCCGCGUGAGUGAAGAAGGUUUUCGGAUCGUAAAACUCUGUUGUAAGGGAAGAACAAGUACAGUAGUAACUGGCUGUACCUUGACGGUACCUUAUUAGAAAGCCACGGCUAACUACGUGCCAGCAGCCGCGGUAAUACGUAGGUGGCAAGCGUUGUCCGGAUUUAUUGGGCGUAAAGCGCGCGCAGGUGGUUUCUUAAGUCUGAUGUGAAAGCCCCCGGCUCAACCGGGGAGGGUCAUUGGAAACUGGGAGACUUGAGUGCAGAAGAGGAAAGUGGAAUUCCUAGUGUAGCGGUGAAAUGCGUAGAUAUUAGGAGGAACACCAGAGGCGAAGGCGGCUUACUGGACUGUAACUGACGUUGAGGCUCGAAAGCGUGGGGAGCAAACAGGAUUAGAUACCCUGGUA
rnacentral:rRNA from 1 species